rnacentral:rRNA from 1 species
AAUGAACGCUGGCGGCAUGCCUAACACAUGCAAGUCGAACGGGAACCUUCGGGAGCGAGUUGAGCACGGGUGCGUGACGGGGUGGAAUCUGCGCACGGGUUCGGACUUAGGCAGCGAAAGCUGGUCUGAUAACGGAAGAUGGCAAAAGACCAAAGAUUUAUCGCGCGAGGAUGAGAGCGCGUUGGCGUAGCUAGUUGGCAGGGUAAGGGCAUACAGAGGCGACGAUCCCUAGCUGGUCUGUGAGGAUUAUCAGCCACUCUGGGACUGAGACACGGCCCAGACUCCUACGCGAGGCAGCAGUGCCUGAUAUAGGACUGUCGGCGGCAGCAUGAUCCCGCUCUGCGGCGUGAGUGAUGAAGGCCUUAGCGUUGUAAAGCUCUUUCACCCGGGAUGAUAAUGACGGUACCGUGAGAAUAAGCUCCGGCUAACUCCGUG